rnacentral:rRNA from 1 species
CCUACGGGUGGCAGCAGUGGGGAAUAUUGGACAAUGGGCGAAAGCCUGAUCCAGCCAUGCCGCGUGUGUGAAGAAGGCCUUCGGGUUGUAAAGCACUUUCAGUGGGGAAGAAAGCCUUGGGGCUAAUACCCUCGAGGAAGGACAUCACCCACAGAAGAAGCACCGGCUAACUCCGUGCCAGCAGCCGCGGUAAUACGGAGGGUGCGAGCGUUAAUCGGAAUUACUGGGCGUAAAGCGCGCGUAGGCGGUCUGAUAAGCCGGUUGUGAAAGUCCCGGGCUCAACCUGGGAACGGCAUCCGGAACUGUCAGGCUAGAGUGCAGGAGAGGAAGGUAGAAUUCCCGGUGUAGCGGUGAAAUGCGUAGAGAUCGGGAGGAAUACCAGUGGCGAAGGCGGCCUUCUGGACUGACACUGACGCUGAGGUGCGAAAGCGUGGGUAGCAAACAGGAUUAGAUACCCUAGUAGUC